AAUAAUAUUUUGCUGCCCAUGUUGUUCCUGGUUGUUAACAAUAUUGUUCAGCAGGAACAAUAUGGGCAGCAAAAUAUUGUUC